GAUGAACGCUAGCGGCAGGCUUAACACAUGCAAGUCGAGGGGCAGCAUGACACGGAGAUUCGUCGAAGUGUUGAUGGCGACCGGCGCAAGGGUGCGUAACGCGUGAGCAACUUGCCCGUUUCUGGGGGAUAACCGGUGGAAACGCCGACUAAUACCCCAUAGUAUUGGAUUUAGGCAUCUUUAUCCAAUUAAAGAAUUUCGGAAACGGAUAGGCUCGCGUGACAUUAGCUAGAUGGCGGGGUAACGGCCCACCAUGGCUACGAUGUCUAGGGGUUCUGAGAGGAAGGUCCCCCACACUGGAACUGAGACACGGUCCAGACUCCUACGGGAGGCAGCAGUGAGGAAUAUUGGUCAAUGGUCGGAAGACUGAACCAGCCAUGCCGCGUGAAGGUCACGGCCCUAUGGGUCUUAAACUUCUUUUGUAAGGGAGCAAUAAGUCCUACGUGUAGGAUGAUGAGAGUACCUUACGAAUAAGCAUCGGCUAACUCCGUGCCAGCAGCCG
rnacentral:rRNA from 1 species